UACGGAGGGUGCAAGCGUUAUCCGGAUUUACUGGGUUUAAAGGGUGCGUAGGUGGGUAGGUAAGUCAGUGGUGAAAUCUUCGAGCUUAACUCGGAAACUGCCAUUGAUACUAUUUAUCUUGAAUACUCUGGAGGUAAGCGGAAUAUGUCAUGUAGCGGUGAAAUGCUUAGAUAUGACAUAGAACACCAAUUGCGAAGGCAGCUCGCUACACGAAUAUUGACUCUGAGGCACGAAAGCGUGGGGAUCAAACAGG
rnacentral:rRNA from 1 species